rnacentral:rRNA from 1 species
CCCUUAGAUGUUCUGGGCCGCACGCGUGCUACACUGACCGGCGCAACAAGUUUCUUUCCUUGGCUCGAUAGGCCUGGGUAAUCUUUGAACGCCGGUCGUGAUGGGGAUAGAUCCUUGCAAUUUUUGAUCUUCAACGAGGAAUUCCUAGUAAAUGCGAGUCAUCAUCUCGCGUUGAUUACGUCCCUGCCCUUUGUACACACCGCCCGUCGCACCUACCGAUUGAAUGGUCCGGUGAAAUCUUCGGAUCUGAGAGAUGUCUGAUUAAUUUCGGACGCCUUUUGGAAAAGUUGCUUAAACCUUACCAUUUAGAGGAAGGUGAAGUCGUAACA